rnacentral:rRNA from 1 species
GGGUAGCAAUAUCCCGAGUACACCGGCGCACGGGUGAGUAACACGUAGGCAAUCUACCUUUAGGACGGGGACAACUCCGAGAAAUCGGGGCUAAUACCCGAUAAUGCAGCGGCACCGCAUGGUGAUGUUGUUAAAGGCCCGCAAGGGCGCCUAUUGAUGAGCCUGCGUCCCAUUAGGUAGUUGGCGGGGUAAUGGCCCACCAAGCCGACGAUGGGUAGCUGGUCUGAGAGGAUGAUCAGCCACACUGGAACUGAGACACGGUCCAGACUCCUACGGGAGGCAGCAGUGAGGAAUAUUGCGCAAUGGCCGAAAGGCUGACGCAGCGACGCCGCGUGAGGGAUGAAGUCCGUUAGGAUGUAAACCUCUUUUGCGAGGGAUGAAUGUUCCGCCUUGUGCGGACUUGACCGUACCUCGCGAAUAAGGGUCGGCCAACUACGUGCCAGCAGCCGCGGUAAUACGUAGGACCCGAGCGUUGUCCGGAAUUACUGGGUGUAAAGGGCGUGUAGGUGGAUCUCUCAGUCGGUGGUGAAAUCCUGCAGCUUAACUGCAGAACUGCCUCCGAUACUGGAGAUCUUGAGUGCGGCAGAGGGAGAUGGAAUUCAUGGUGUAGCGGUGAAAUGUGUAGAUA